GAAUAUCCAAUAGGCCACUUCUAUGAUCUGCAGUGUUUUGAGUGUCAAGCGGAUGUUGGUCCCUGGCAUGCUGAUGCUUCUCCAUUACGUUCCCAGAACAUGAACUCCAUUCGUAGGACUUCCAUUUUAAUUUCAUCAACUAUUUGAUCAACCAAGUUGUGAAAGAGAAAACAAACCAGAGCAGUUGCUCGUAUAUGGGGAAAAUUUUGAAUCCUUCUGCAAGGCAAUAUCAAAACAUGUUUGCCCAAAAAGUGAAGCAUUGAAAAAGAGAUGUUAGCUGAAACUGUGCCAAACUGCAACCGCAGGUUUACGGAAAUCAUUGAUGCCGUCAUAUACCACCUGUGCACCUGUUAUCUGCACCCAGAUCCUAAUCUAUUACAAUGUGUGCCACAAAUAAAAGGAAGGAUAGAAAUACAGUGGCAGAAGAAUUAAACUCCAAAAGAAAAUUUCCGUCCAGUGUUUUACGUCUGUAUUUUUAUGGAUUACGGAAUAUUUCGAAGAAAUGUAUCUGCCUAAUGACGAUUUUGGUGGAUAUGGGCAGAAUCUGCACGCCGAAACUCGAUGUGGAUGCAAAUUCUAUUUAUGGAGGUAAAUAAAAAUACUGACUGAUAAAAUUUGUCGCAAGUCGCCGGCAAUAUUUAGGGACUGUGGCAUCAGGCAGGGUUGUUUACCAUGAUUGAAAAGAGAAUCGUGUAACCGAGUUAACAGCUACCAACAUUUGCAAU